rnacentral:lncRNA from 1 species
CCCUGCCCUACAGACCAUAAAGGAAAACAGCAAGAGGUCCCCAGCAAACAUCUACAGAUGGCCCUGGACAUCAGCCACAUUCUGAGAAACAUGUCAUGUUCUGGGAGGGCUAAGGCAUCAAGCUCACCCUGCAGGAAUCCCAGUGAAUAUAUUGCCACCAUCUUGGAGCUCAGUGCCCUCAUAGUGUAACAGCACCAGCAGAUCUGCCUGUGCACAGACUUCCUGUACUACCUCACUUCUGAGGGGAGAUGCUUCUGCAGGGCCUGCGACCUGGGGCACAACUUUAGACACCAUCAUCCUGGAGCGGCACUGCACCCUUACUAGCCAGGGUGUUGACUUCCUCAAUGCCAAGGCCACGUUCAAGAUUUUCGACUUCAGUGAUGCGUUUGUGCUGAGCAAGGUGGGCUUCUCCGGGAUCUUAAUUCAAGAGGUAGAAUGCAGCUUGAGAUCUAGUGUCUGAUCGAAGAACUUGAACUUGACCUGGAGGGCUCUGGGGAGCCAUGGAAGGUGCUGGAUAAAGGAGGGACAGUCAUAUAUGUUUUAGAGAUGACUGUGAAAGGCUGCCUGGAAGGAGUGAACAAGAGCCAGGAGACCAGGGAGGGAGUUUGUGGGGCAGGUCUGGAGAUGGCAAGGGAGGGAUCCUGCUUGGAUGAAAGGACUUCAGGGACUGUCUCAGGUUACACUCAGGUGUCCUC